rnacentral:rRNA from 2 species
GUUGUUAAAGAAGAACCCGUAUGAGAGUAACUGUUCAUACGUUGACGGUAUUUAACCAGAAAGUCACGGCUAAUUACGUGCCAGCAGCCGCGGUAAUACGUAGGUGGCAAGCGUUAUCCGGAUUUAUUGGGCGUAAAGAGAGUGCAGGCGGUUUUCUAAGUCUGAUGUGAAAGCCUUCGGCUUAACCGGAGAAGUGCAUCGGAAACUGGAUAACUUGAGUGCAGAAGAGGGUAGUGGAACUCCAUGUGUAGCGGUGGAAUGCGUAGAUAUAUGGAAGAACACCAGUGGCGAAGGCGGCUACCUGGUCUGCAACUGACGCUGAGACUCGAAAGCAUGGGUAGCGAACAGGAUUAGAUACCCUGGUAGUCCAUGCCGUAAACGAUGAGUGCUAGGUGUUGGAGGGUUUCCGCCCUUCAGUGCCGGAGCUAACGCAUUAAGCACUCCGCCUGGGGAGUACGACCGCAAGGUUGAAACUCAAAGGAAUUGACGGGGGCCCGCACAAGCGGUGGAGCAUGUGGUUUAAUUCGAAGCUACGCGAAGAACCUUACCAGGUCUUGACAUCUUGCGCCAACCCUAGAGAUAGGGCGUUUCCUUCGGGAACGCAAUGACAGGUGGUGCAUGGUCGUCGUCAGCUCGUGUCGUGAGAUGUUGGGUUAAGUCCCGCAACGAGCGCAACCCUUGUUACUAGUUGCCAGCAUUAAGUUGGGCACUCUAGUGAGACUGCCGGUGACAAACCGGAGGAAGGUGGGGACGACGUCAGAUCAUCAUGCCCCUUAUGACCUGGGCUACACACGUGCUACAAUGGACGGUACAACGAGUCGCGAACUCGCGAGGGCAAGCAAAUCUCUUAAAACCGUUCUCAGUUCGGACUGCAGGCUGCAACUCGCCUGCACGAAGUCGGAAUCGCUAGUAAUCGCGGAUCAGCAUGCCGCGGUGAAUACGUUCCCGGGCCUUGUACACACCGCCCGUCACACCAUGAGAGUUUGUAACACCCAAAGUCGGUGGGGUAACCU